UAGAUUAUGUAAUCAGAGUAGUAUUUCAUUCAAACCAAAUACGUCAGAUUCAUUAAUAAAUGGAAAUAUAUACCAAAACAAGAAAGGAUCAAAUUGGAAUAUUUGGAAAAUGAAAAGGAACGAACCGUCUCUCGCCGAUUCGAGGGGGGUGUCACUGUCUCUUAUUUACGAUCUGGCGAAUUAAGGACCAUGAUUUGAUGCUAGAGAUUGUUGUUCACUUGUUCUAUUGAAACCAUAUACACUUUUAAAAUGCACCCAACGUGUGGUUAGCGUUUGACCCACGUCCAUCUACAUAAUCUAUGUAUUGCAUUAAAAUAAUUGGUAGAUUUUGCAUUAGGAUAUAGGAUUUCUUGGUGGUUGCAGCAAUAAAAUAGUGUAUUUGUCUACGAUUUUGAUUAGAUUGAAGAUUUAAACAGUGUACAAGAGACUAUAAGUAUUUUAGAAAAAACCUCUUUUGUUUAUCACCUGGCUGUUUAUUACCUGGCUUGCAGUCUUCGAUCUUGUUGGGAAAAUAAAAUGACGUUUUCCUCACCUUAUGUGAAUCUUUAAAGAAAAUAUAUCGACGACAGCAAAAUAUAUAAUAAGAAUAAGCAAUAAAUAAAUGAGAAAAACACUUUUAUAUAGAAAAACAUAUUUGUUAUAAGCAGACUUGGCCCUGAAAAACUUUACAAAACUAAAGGCUGGAAGCCCAGAGAAAAAAAUGUUGCCUAGCCAUUUUGAACCUGCUAUCUUUAGGUAGUUUGCCUGUUAGUUUAACCAUUUGAGCUACUGUUAUAUCUUAAAAAUUGGCCGAAACUUCAGUAUGUUAUCAACGGCUGGAAGCAGAUGCUUCUAAUGCAUCUGUCAGGGCCGCUACUGGUUGUAAGAAUAAAAUUCCUAAAAGACCGUAGUCCACUAAAUAAUCCGAGUGUGAGUAUGACUAUAUUCUCUCUCUAUUCAAUAACCUGAACAGAACACACACUCUAACUACAAAGAGCUAUGUCCAACACAAGAUACUACCACGGCAAGAGAGCACCACAAAAGCUUCAAAACAUGCAGCCACAAAAUGACCUAAGUUCACUACGAUUCCGGAAACCAGAGACUAAUCCCACUGUAUAAAUAUAAGAUGAACAAGUCAACAACAUCUCUGCCAAGUUUCAGUUCAAUAGAAAAAGAUCUCACUAUUGGAUUUACGAAACACCCAACACAUCACUACUGAAGAACAUUAACGACCAUCUUCACUAAAACCUAGAUAACAGAAGAUUCAACUGUUGAAAUCCAAAUCUUUUCGGUGAACCUUUAACAAACUGAAUGAAGAAGCUUCCCACAAUAUAUCAGUCAUAUCAAGAUCCGUUUGACCUUCCAAACCGUGUCUUGUCAAACCCAGACGAAUUCUGCAUUAUUUUAUCUCUUUGGUCUUAAAAUUCUUUUUCAGUCUCUUCUUUCUUUUCUUGUGUUAUGUCUUCUAACCACACAAAAUUAGGUUAAAAUACUUUAUAUAAUGUCUUAAUAAACCCCCCAAGGCACGAUACUAAUCUUAUGGAUUAAUAUCAAUGGCCCAUCUCAAAGUUUUGUUAUCACCAACAAAACCUAUUGGGGUUCCCAUCAAAGUAUCAAACUCCUUCUCUGACUAGUGGAGGAAACAACCAUACCAACUAUCUCUCGGCAUACCUCAAGGUUCCGCUUCCUUAGAAGCAAUCAUAUCUUGUAUCCAAUGAUACCUCCUACGAAUGUGUUUCGAUUGUGAAUAAAAUGUAAAAUUCUUUCCUAGACAAAUGGCACUUCGACUAUCAUAAAACAAUACAUACUUUUCCUGCUUGAACCUGAUAUUUCACAAAAGUUCUUCAUCCACAACAACUCUUUACAAGAUUCAGCUGCACCAAUGAACUCUCCUUCAGUGUUAGAUAAUGCAACAUAUUUUUUCAACCUUGAUUUCUAUGCCACAACUCCACCCGCAAAUAUUACUAAGUAACUCGAAGUAGAUUUACUAGCUAGAAUCAACAUCUCAAAACAUGUUUCAAUGUUCUAUUUCUCUAUUGGAAAGAAACCUGCUGAUAACCCCAAUGGCGUAGGCUAAAUACGGUCGUAUACUGACCAUGGCAUACAUCUAACAACCCACUGUAGAAGCAAAUGGACCCUUUGCCAUAUCUUUUUUUUUCUGCAUAUGUCUUCAAACUCUGUUGACUGUUCAGUCUUAUGUGUGGAGCGAGAGAAGUACUCAGCACUUUAAACUUGUUUAUCUAAAACUGUUUAAGUACUUUUUCAAUGUAUUCCUCUUGACACAAGUAAAUCAGCUUCUCACGUUUAUCUCGAACAAUUCUCAUACCAAUAAUCUGCUUCGCUAGACCCAUACUCUUUCAUAGCAAAAAACUCACUUAGCUGAUUAUCCAGCUCUUUAAUUAUGUCCAUGUUCCUUCCCACAAUCAACAACUUUGUAACAUCCGGAGUUGUCAUAUAUGGAAAGACUUAAAAGAAUUGAUUUAGCUACCUAUGUCACCAAAAUUGACUUACCUUUUCCGUCACACAUCCGUUUAGGACUUCAGAGUUAAGCGUGCUUGGCUGGAGUAGUGAAAGGAUGGGUGACCUAUCCGGAAGUGAUUUGCGAUACCGUGCGAGUGAGGCCAAAGCAUGGGAAAGGUCGGGUGGUGAUUGCAGGUUUAGUAAACAAUGAUUUCGAGCCUUUGAUAAAAUUAACGAACCAACCAUUGGAACAUGAUGGGUCCACGGGCCGAGAGAGUGGGCGUGGAUGGCCCAUUAGUGAGGGUGGUCGGGGCGUUACAAGUGGUAUCAGAGCUAGGUUAGCCAUAUCGGUUCUGACCCGAGAAGCGUCUUGAGACCUGUCGUGGGGCGCAAUGAGGAUAUUGCGUUCUUUGAUAGAGGGUGAGUUGUAACAUCCCGAGUUAUGAUAUAUGAAAAAGCCUAAAAGAAUUGAUUUGGCUACCUAUGUCACCAAAGUUGACUUACCUUUUUCGUCACACAUCCGUUUAGAACUCCAGAGUUAAGUGUAUUUGGGCUGGAGUAGUGAAAGGAUGGGUGACCUAGCGGGAAGUGAUUCGCGAUACCGUGCGAGUGAGGCCAAAGCAGGGAGAAAGGUCGGGUGGUGACUGCAGGGUUAGUAAACAAUGAUUUUGAGCCUUUGGUAAAAUUUAUGGACCGACCAUUGGAACGGAAUGGGGUCCAAGGGCCGAGAGAGUGGGCGUGGAUGGCCCAUUAGCUGAGGGCGGUCAGGGUGUUACAAUAUCAUCGACAUACAUCAACAAGAUGAUAAAAUAUUCGUCACCAAACACCUUCACAAAUAACAGACUGGAAUUUCAUGUACCACUCUUGUUUCAAUCCAUAAAUGAUUUUUUUCAAGAGGAAAACCAAAUCCUCUUUGCCCUUUUUCACAUAGCCUUCUGGUUGUUCCAUGUAGAUCUCUUUCUCCUAAUCACUAUGAAGGAAAUCAAUCUCCACAUCCAUUUGCUCAACCUUAAGACCAAGGCUUACUGCCAAUCCUAACACAUGAACGAAUGAUAUCUUCAAACUGGUAUCCUUUUCUUUCAUAAUCAAUCCCAUUCUUUUUGAUGAAUCCUUUCACACCUAAUCUAACCUUGUAUCUAGGUGGAAAAUAGUAUCCUCAUGCUUAAUUAUGUACACCCACGUAUUAAGUAUAGCCUUCGUACCCUUAGGCGAUUUUCCAACUCAAUGUAUGAUUCUCAUCAAAAGAAUUCAUCUUCUCAUCCAUGGGCCAAACCACAUAUCCUUGUGUUAAUCCUACAAAGUGUCAUAAUAGCUUUCAGGCUCUCCCAUCAAUAAUUAACACAUACUCACUAGGAUCAUACCUUGUCGAGAUCUCUCUUGGAUCUUUUAACAACAAUAGAUUGGUUCUAAAUAACUGGUGUCUCACCAUGAUCGUCACCAUGAUCACCACUACCAUCUUCAUGUGCGGGAGCAUAUACAUUAGAUGUAUUAUCCUAAACCUUCCCUCACUGUGGACGGAUGAAGAAGGAGUAGCCUCUGGAUCGAAUAAACUCUCAUAAACCAGAGUUGAAUUUCUAGACUUGUCAAUGUUCUUAAUCGUUUGAUCUUCCAUGAACACAACAUCUCUUCUCCUUAUAAGAUUUUUUCAACGAGAUCAUAAAAUAUAUACCCGAAUUCAUCAUGGCCAUAACCGAUGAACACACACCAUCGCGACUUCAUAUCAAGCUUCAAUAUCUCAUCCUUGGGAAUAUGAAAAAACAUCUUACACCCAAAGACCCUCAAGUGACCGUAAGAAACAUCCUUGUUGGUCCAAACCCUCUAUGAAAUAUCACCAUCUAACAAACAAAACACUCAGUGACAAAUUCAGCACAUGAACAACUGUGAUCAAAGCUUCUCCCCAGAAAGUCAUCAACAAACCUGACUGUGAGAUCAAACAUUUUAUCCUCUCGACAAUCAUGAUGUUCAUCCUUUCAGCUAACCCAUUCAACUGUGGAGUCUUAAGUGGUGUGAACUAAUGCAUUAUUCCAUGCUCUUUGCAAUAAACAUCAAAUGGUCUAGAAUACUCUCCACCAUUAUCAUUGCGGUUACACCUCAGCUUCUUCCCCGUUUGUCUCUCAACCAGUGCCACAAAAUGCUUGUAAUAUCCCAUCACCUGAUCAUUCAUCCUCGUAGGAAAUAACAACAAUUUUCUUGAAUGAUCAUCAAUGAAAGCCAAAAAUGAUACGUCGCCAAACUAUUUUUGUCUUUAUUGGACCACACACAUCUGAGUGCAGACCAAAGAUUCACGGAAUCACCUCAUUCUUAAAAAAACACAAACAUUCCCUUCUCACUCAAAAGACCUAGUCUCUUAUGCCAUAACUCCAUGAAACCAUCAUUCUCCACUUUCUUAAUAGCAUCUUUGGAGAGCAUGCAUCCAAUAGAAGGAUGAAUACUUUUCAUCUCGAGCCACAAUCAAAGAGCCUCGAGAGAGCUUCCAAUUACCACCACCGUACAACUGUAGAAACCCUCAUCAUCAAGUCUUCCCACCGAUAUCAGAUUCAUAUGAAUAUCCGUAACAUGCUUAACAUACUUAACCACCAACCUAGUUCCAAGACUAGUCUCCAAGCACAUGUCACCAAUGCCGACAACCUGAGCCAAACAUCAAUUCCCCAUCUCCACGGAGCCAUAAUUAUCCGUAGUAUAGGUAAAAAAAACAAAUUAUAAUGUGAUGUAGCAUGAGUAGCUCCACUAUCAACCACCCAAUUGGUGUCUUGGUAUACCACAUUAAUGGCAUUACUUUCAAGAAGAAGGUGAAACUGAAAAUCAGUGACGGCACCUGAUCCACCUUUUCUUCUUGAUUACUUUGGUGCUUGUUUUUCAACUUCCAGGCAUCUUUCUUCAUUUGCAUUUUCUUGUAACAGAAAUAACACUCCAUAUUACCAAAUUUAUUAGAUUUGCUUUUGCUCCUGUUCUUUUCCUCGUGGGCUUUUUAUAUGAUCUCAUCUCCCUUGUCUAAGUAACAAAGACAUCUGAACGCGAAGAACCAGCAUUUGACGGCAUUCUUGCUUCAUCAUUAAGAACAUUGUUCUUCACUGAAUCCAUCGAAAUAACACUUUCCGAGUGGAGUUACAAAGACAAAUCGUGAAAUCUCCCAAGAAUCUGGUAAAGUACCAAGAAGCCACAUACCGUGAAUCUCAUCAUCAAACUUGAUGCCCAUAUCAUAAAGUUUGUUGACCAAUCCCUGAAAUGCAUUAAAGUGAUCCGUCAAGUUCCUUCAUGAUACCUCAUCUUAAUUACCUUCUUAAUUAGUUACAUCUUCUUAUUUCCGGUAUUCCUACUCCAGCUUCAAUUACAAGGAAUGAGCAUCAAUCUAAGUCUCAAUAUGAUGCAAUAAACUAUCAUCUACCCACUUCUUUAUCAGCCCGCACACUUGAAGAUGCAGCAACUUCCAUUUAUCUUCCAUUUUAUUAUCAUGUUUCUUCUACUGAAAUACCGGAAUGAAAUUCCUUAACAAAGAGAAGAGCAUAUCCUCAAUUUUUACUUUCCAUAUAUGAUAGUUAGUACCAGUAGAGAGUAUCAUCCUGCCCAUAUUUUUCAUCAUUCACACAAGCAAACAAUAACUUGAAGUUAUCAAACCUAAAGCUCUAUAACUAGAAGCUCUAAUACCACUUUGUUGGGAAAAAGAAACAUGAGCAGAGGAUUAUUGGAAUGGUGUUCCCUGACAUUAUAUGAACCUGUGAGGAAAAUACUUCGACAAUAGCAUGAUAUACAAUAAGCAAUAACUAAAUGAGACAAGCACUUUUUACUUAGGAAAAUCUCCUCGAUGUGAGAAGGAAAAACUUACGGGAUCAUAGUCCACUAAAAAUACACUAUAUAAAUAUGUAUAAGUACAACCAUGUAUUCACUGUUAAACAAUAUGAACAGAAUAUAGACUCUAGCUACAAAGAGCUAACUCGAACACAAGAUACUACAACAACAAGAGAGCACCACAAAAGCUUCAAAAUAAGCAGCCACGAAACGACCUAAGAUCACUAGGAUUCCAGCAACCAGAGACUAAUCCCACUGUAAAAAUUCAAUAUGACAAGUCAACAACACAUCUGCCAAGUUUCAGCUCUAUCAGAGAAGAUCUUACUGUCCGAUUUACCAAACACUUAAGACAGCGCAACUGGAGAAUUGUGACGACCAACUUCACUAAAACCUAAAUUACACACGAUCCAACUGUUGAAAUUCAAAUCUCUUCUAGUGAAUGAGGAAAUGGGGUAUGGAUCAGUGCUGUUUCUUUUGUAGGGAGAAAAAUGAAUUUUAGGAGCAUCUUUAUUUUGGGUGUUUUUAUAUUUUUACAGUUUGGCUGCGAAGUGUUGGGGUAUCAUUAGUGAUAGACACUUUCACUAUCUUACAUGACACUACCACUCCACUAAUAGACUAUAUCUUGCUUCGCAUAGCCUUUCAAGUACUAGUGUAUUUAGUUUGGAGGGAACAAAACACCGUAAGCAUGGUACAAGCUGGAUCAACACAUGUGAACUUUACAUCUUGCUUAUCAUGGCACUCACAAGUAUGAAGGACUCAGAAGGCAUUGGUUUGCUCUGUAUAGUUAAACUUUACAGUUUUGGUUGGGGUUAGUUUUGGUCCGUUUAUAUUCUUUUUAGAUUUUCUUUACCGAUUCUUCAUCUACAUCUUGUAAAUGAUCAUAUUCUUUAGUUCUUCCGAUUAAUUUAAUAUUUUAUCAAAAAAUAAUAUUAUUAUGUUUUUUAUAUUUUAAAAAGGUAAAAUAUAAUAUGCAAUAUUAUAGAAAUAUAUUAUUGUGUUCUCCGUCUCUCCACUCUCUCUCUUCUUCCCUCUAAUAUGUAAUGUUACGAUAAAACAUUGUCGAGUUCUAAUGUAUUUACGAAGUCUAGAAUAGAAUUAUAAUUAUACAAUCUCUCUCUCUCUCUCUAAAAAAAUGCCAAUAUUAUCAAGAUUGGUGACAAAUUAUUGCAUCACUUCUCUACAAAUACAUAUAUAAAUAUAUAUAUAUAUAUAUGAUUACUUUAUUAAUUGUUUUAAUGUUCAUGUACAUUUUACAAAUUGAAUAUGUACACAAAUUUGGGAGGGGAGAGAGGAUAAUAUUUUCUUGUAAAAUAUAAUUUGGUGCUUUUUGAUCCCCAAUUGCUAUGGAUAACAAAGGAUGGAACAAUGAUCACCCAGCACUUCUGUGUAACACUAGUCACACAAAGACUUUUUUGAGUUGAUUCUUCCCAAUUUCAAGAGUGAGAUUGAUCUUGUACAACACUAAAUGUGCAUUCAAUACAAGUUUUUGAACAUGAUUUGCAAAUAGUUUGAUAUGGUUUUGCAGGACACAAUUAUAGAAAGAAAAAAUAAACAGAAAGAAGAAAAUGUCUAUGGUCGGGCUAUUUUAACUAUGUGUUUGGAUGUAUGUAUACCAGACGUAAUUUCUUUUUGGAUGCAAUAAUAAGGCUCCCUGUUGAGGGAAACAAGGAAUAUAUUUUAUUGUCAAUAUGAAAGUUAGUAAAUGACCGCUUAGAAGAGAAAAGAAGAUGAGAUAAUUGGCGUGUAUAUCUCCACGCACCACCAUAAUUAGGAAAAUACCAUCUACUCUCAAAUACAAUUUUAUAUGCCAUUUUUGCCUCUACUCCAACCUCCCCUGCAUGUCUCUAGCUGUGUCAGGCUCUCUGAUAUCCUGCAUACGUUUAAUGUUCGUAGAAGCAAGGCCCGUUAUCCAAGCUCUUUCUCUUUUUUCAAUUCUUUGUGUUCUACAAUUAAAUAUUUUUUAUGAAAUAUAUUCUUGUCCAAAGCUAUAUUCUCUAUCAAAAUAUCACAAGGUUCCUUUUGUGUUUAUCCUCAAGUACCGUGAAAACAUCAAUUUUUAGUUCUAUUUUUUUUAUACAAAUCACCGGAAAAUUUUACUAUCUCGCUCAUUGGCAAAACGCGUCGCAUAACAAUUCCAACACCACCGCAAUGACGAGCUCCUCAAUCUGCAGAAUAUAAAGAAAAUUCCAUUGAAAGUGAUAGUAUCGGUGGGAAAGGCAAGAGUUCCAGAUCUGAGCACUUAUAUUACCACCAUAACUAGGGAUUCCACGACGAGGUUAUGGUCAGGAAAUCGUCCGGGACAAGUAUAUAUUUUCAUAAUGUGUAUAUUGUCUCAAACGAGUUCUUAAACCAUGGAGAAGGCAUUUCAGAUCCUCCAUUGUGGUGGUUAUUGUCAGGAAAUCUCCGACCGGGAUAUAUGUUUGGUUAGCUGCUACAAAAUAAAUGUUAGAUGAUACAAGUUUGUUAGCUCCUACUAAAUAUGUUUAAAAAUAGGAUACAUUACAGUUGUUGCUAAUAGAUACAUGUUUAUUAACUGCACUAGCUUGUUUACAUAGUAGUGGUUGUUAGAUAUAUUCCACUACAUGUUUAUUAACUGCACUAGCUUGUUUACAUAGUAGUUGUUUACCAUAUAUUAUUGAUGUGAUAAAAGCAUGAGAUGUUUAGUGUAUUCCACGGUGUAAAUAGUUGUCGUUAGAAAAUACAUAGUUUGUUAACUGAUACAUGUUUUAGUUCCUUAUUUGAUAGCUGAUAUGUUAUUUGUUACAUGAUACAUGGCUUAUUAUCUUAUACAUGACGGUGUCAUAACAUAAGUUUUGGUGCUGUGAAACGAGAACGGCUAAGAAGAAGACUUUGACGUCUGAGAAAUAUGGUAAACUGAAAAUAUUUUUUUUACUUGAUUUAAUGACUCGCUGUCUCGAACGAGUUCACGAAAAUUACCCAUGCGUUCAUGAGGUCUUCAUUUUUUUUUUUUUUUACUCAAUAACAUUGUCUAUUAGUUUAUUCUUGUUUGACACAUGCUUUGUUAGCUGAUAUAUUGUAUUGAAUAAUAUUUAGGAAGAUGUUACAAAUUAGUUAUUGUUACCUGAUACAUGAUUUGGUAGAUGAUACAUGAUUUGUUACAUAAUACAUGACUUGUGUAUCUAAUACAUGGUUUGAUAUAAAAAAAGAAUGUACUAUCUUGUAUUUAAUUGAUUCUUUAAACACUUUACAUUUGUUGUGAAAUACAUGUUUUGUUAAAUAUUAUAAAUAAGAUUACAUCUAAUUGAUAAAAUAAUGGUAAGAUGUUACAAAAUAGUUAUAGUUAGCUGAUCCAUGAUUUGUUUAAUUGUUAAAUGGUUUGUUACCUGAUUCGUGAUUUAUUACCUUAUACAUGGUUUGGUAGUUCAUACAACCGACACUGAAACAAUAAUAUAAAGUUCGCUGGCCAUGAAAAUGAUUGAGAAUUUAUGUCCAAUAAAUGUAGUAUGCUAAAAGAAUAAAACAAACAUAACAGUGAAUACUUAUUCUUUGACACAAAAAUGUUACUCCCUCCGUUUUUUAAUAUAAGUCGUUGUAGAGAAAUUUUUUUGUUUCAAAUUAUAUGUCGUUUUCGGUUUUCUAUGUAAAAUUUAUUAGUAAUUAAUGUUGUAUGACCAAUGGUAAUAUAUCUUUUAUUUUUCUAUUGGUUGAAUUGUGGUUAGGUAAAUAAUUAAUGAUGUUUUUGUUUAGAAAAUAUAAGAAAUUAAUGGUUUUCUUAAUCUACGUGCAUAGCUAUAAAACGACUUAUAUAAAAAAACGGAGGGAGUAUAAAAGAGUUGUCGUUAGUUGAUAUAUAGGUUGUUAUAUGCUCCAAACAAUGUACCAACUCACAAAUCUUGUAUCAGCUAAUGACAGUUACUCUAUAAAAUCUUAUCGACAAUUUAUCAAUUAACUGCAACCAGUUUUUAACGACUAAUAAAAUAUGUAGUCUGAAUACCAAUAUAAAAUAAAAAAUCCACUAAAAUAUAAAUAAUAUAUGUUAACUAAAAUUACCAACUAACAUAUAUGUUAUGAAGAGCGGCCCUUUCUUAAACUUCUGAUACACCACUGCAUGAUUUAUGGUUGAAGAAAAAGACCGCAAUGCAGCAUCGCUAUUAAUAUGAUUAGCAAUUGAAAGCAAAUUAUGAUUUGAAACUGAUAGGGAUAAGAACGCCGGUCAUCAAAGGCAAUAAAACUGCCACGACUUGUCAUCAUCGAAGUGUUCAAUGGUAAAAUAUGUCACUGAAUUCUAAUGUGGCUCAUCAUAGAUCUAUACAAAUAAAAAAAAAAUAUUACUAGAUUUUGUUUUCUCCAUAGACUCAUCAUUAUCAUGGAUCUACGAACUUCAGUUUAUCUUUUAUGGAUUUCACCAAAUUUUUUGAAUCUUCGUGAGAAUUGUAGUAAGAAUUCAUCAAAGUUUUCUUGGAUCUUAGUAGGAACCAUUGAAAACUCAAGUUUUAAAUCUGAGUUUUUUUUCUAAAAGCUUGAUUCACAGAUUGGGAAAUGAAAAAUAUGAGAAAGAAACCAAUCUUUUUACUAAGAUGAAAAGGAAACUAUAAAGUUGACUCAAAACUAGAAAAAACAUGUGGAUGAAAAGGCUGUAGUUGCAGACCUACGACCUUGAUUACACUUCUACAAACUUGACAUAUUUUUCUUUCACAUGCCACGUCGAUGUACGAGUGGUACGAAAACUGAUGAUAAUGCUCAAACAUCUACAAGUGGUAUUAGAGGUUAGAGGUUGAGAGUGUUGAUUGGUCUAUGGAUGGAAACAAUCUUUGAUCAUCUUGUGUUUUCCGCAGGAAAUACAUCUUUUUAAAGUUUUGAAUACUGAAUGUGUAGAUGGUUUGAGAUGAUAUCGAGUGCAAUAGUAUUACACUGAUGAGAUUUGACAAAGAUUUUUGUGGCAGAAAGAAACAAUACUAUUGGCUAAUUUUGAAAUUAAAAAAUAUAUAAUGAAUAUGAACUUCUAUAGUAGUAAUUAUUACUAUCUACUAGCUUAUGAAAGUUUGGGUUUGAAACUAUAAAACAAGGUUCACGAAUCAAACUCAUGAUAAAUCAUGUAAAAUAUUGGACUGGAAUCCAAAUGUUUCUGAUAAUAUGAUAAAAAUUAAAAUCAUUAAUUACCCAAAAUAGAAGUAGAAUAAAAUGAGAAAAUAUGUAGCAACACAACAGAAAUAGAUCGAUCAGGGAGAGUACAAUGAAUGGGUGAAAACCAUAGCUUCUCCCUCCUGUAAGAUCUAUAGAGUUGCAAAACAUAAAGAAUAUGAUAUGUAAAGAA